GACGAACGCUGGCGGCGUGCUUAACACAUGCAAGUCGAACGGAAAGGCCCUGCUUGCGGGGUACUCGCGUGGGGAACGGGUGAGUAACACGCGGGUGAUCUGCCCUCCACUUCGGGAUAAGCCUGGGGGACAGGGUGUAAUACCGGAUAGGAGCCAUUUUUAGUGUGAUGGUUGGAUAGUUUUUUCCGUGUGGGAUGAGCUCGCGGCCUGUUAGCUUGCUGGUGGGGUAAUGGGCUACCAAGGCGGCGGAGGGUAGCCGGCCUGCGGGGGUGGACGGCCACAAUGGGGCCUAGGGAAGGCCCAGGCUCCUAAGGGGGGGCGCAGGGGGGAAGAUUGCACAAGUGGCGCAAGCCGGGUGCAGCGACGCCGCGGGGGGGAAGACGGGCUUCGGGGUGGAAAACCGUUUCGCUAGGUACGAAGCUUUUUGUGACGGUACCUAGAUAAGAAGCACCGGCUAACUACGUG
rnacentral:rRNA from 1 species